AGAGUUUGAUCCUGGCUCAGGAUGAACGCUGGCGGCGUGCUUAACACAUGCAAGUCGAACGAUGAUCCCAGCUUGCUGGGGGAUUAGUGGCGAACGGGUGAGUAACACGUGAGUAACCUGCCCUUAACUCUGGGAUAAGCCUGGGAAACUGGGUCUAAUACCGGAUAUGACUCCUCAUCGCAUGGUGGGGGGUGGAAAGCUUUAUUGUGGUUUUGGAUGGACUCGCGGCCUAUCAGCUUGUUGGUGAGGUAAUGGCUCACCAAGGCGACGACGGGUAGCUGGCCUGAGAGGGUGACCGGCCACACUGGGACUGAGACACGGCCCAGACUCCUACGGGAGGCAGCAGUGGGGAAUAUUGCACAAUGGGCGAAAGCCUGAUGCAGCGACGCCGCGUGAGGGAUGACGGCCUUCGGGUUGUAAACCUCUUUCAGUAGGGAAGAAGCGAAAGUGACGGUACCUGCAGAAGAAGCGCCGGCUAACUACGUGCCAGCAGCCGCGGUAAUACGUAGGGCGCAAGCGUUAUCCGGAAUUAUUGGGCGUAAAGAGCUCGUAGGCGGUUUGUCGCGUCUGCCGUGAAAGUCCGGGGCUCAACUCCGGAUCUGCGGUGGGUACGGGCAGACUAGAGUGAUGUAGGGGAGACUGGAAUUCCUGGUGUAGCGGUGAAAUGCGCAGAUAUCAGGAGGAACACCGAUGGCGAAGGCAGGUCUCUGGGCAUUAACUGACGCUGAGGAGCGAAAGCAUGGGGAGCGAACAGGAUUAGAUACCCUGGUAGUCCAUGCCGUAAACGUUGGGCACUAGGU
rnacentral:rRNA from 1 species